CCUGGGUUUGGGUGGUUCUCCUGCCUCAGCCUCCCGAGUGGGUGGGACUGCAGGCAUGCUCAGCUAAUUUUGCUUUUUUUUUUUUUUUUUUUUUUUUUUGCACCUGGCUUCACCUAGUGGAUCCCACGCCAGGGCUGUGGGUGGAGCUGCCCGCCAGUCCGGCACCAUGCGCCUGCACUCCUUGGCCCUUGGGCGGUCAAUGGGACCUGGCGCUGCGGAGCAGGGGGCCGCGCCUGUUUGGGAGGCUCGGGCGGCGUCGGAGCCCACCGAGGGGAGAGGGGGUCUCGAGCAUGGCGGGCUGCAUUCUUACAUACAAAAAUUGAGAAAAUUCAUCACCAGCAGAAUUGCACUACAAAAAUAUUGAAGGAAAUUAUUCAGGCAGAAAAAAAUGAUGAGAAGAAAAUUAAAUCUAUACAAAAAAACAAAGAAUAAAAAAGUAAAUAUGUGAAUAAAUAUAAUGAAUUGUUUUCCUUAAUUUUUGAACCUAUUUUAAACAUAAGCUGCUGUUGUUUUUCUUUUUGAGACACAGGGUCUCACUGUGUCACCCACACUGACGUACAGUGGCAGGAUUACAGCUCACUGCAGUCUCAAUCUCCCAGGCUCAAGCAAUCUUUCCACCUCAGCCUCCCAAGCAGCUGUGACAACAGACAUGUGCCACCAUGCCCAGCUAAUUUUUUUUUAAUUUUUAAUAGAGAUAAGGUCUCAUUAUGUUGCCCAGGCUGAUCUUGAACUCCUGGUCUCAAGUAAUCCUCCUGCCUUGGCCUCACAGAGUGCUGAGAUGACAAGCAUGAGCCACUAUGCCCAGCCAAACAUAGCUGUUUAAAGCAGAAAUAACAACGAAUUGUGAGCUUUAUAACAUAUGUAGACAUAAAAUGUAUGACAAUAUUAGGAAGGGUAGAAGGAGAAUGCUAGAUUAUUCUGGUGUGAGGUUCUUAGGAAUUUGCAUAUCAUUAUGUACAUUAUAUAAAUAAGGCUAUGAUACAAAGUUCUAAUAUACAUGAGGUUCAUAUAUAUGAAUUUGUAUAUCAUUACUUGAAAGUCAACUGUGAUAAAUUAGAGUUAUACACUGUUAAAAA
rnacentral:lncRNA from 10 species